CGCCCGCACGCGCCCCGCGCCCGUCCCGCCGCCCCCGCCCCCUACGGGAGGCAGCAGGGGGGAAUUUUGGACAAUGGGCGCAAGCCUGAUCCAGCCAUUCCGCGUGCAGGAAGAAGGCCUUCGGGUUGUAAAGUUCUUUUGCACGGAACGAAACGGUCUUCUCUAAUACAGUGUGAUAAUGACGGUACCGUAAGAAUAAGCACCGGCUAACUACGUGCCAGCAGCCGCGGUAAUACGUAGGGUGCRAGCGUUAAUCGGAAUUACUGGGCGUAAAGCGUGCGCAGGCGGUUAURUAAGWCAGAUGUGAAAUCCCCGRGCUCAACCUGGGAACUGCAUUUGUGACUGCAWACUAGAGUACGGYAGAGGGGGWUGGAAUUCCGCGUGUAGCAGUGAAAUGCGUAGAUAUGCGGAGGAACACCGAUGGCGAAGGCAAUCCCCUGGACCUGUWCUGACGCUCAUGCACGAAACGUGGGAGCAAACAGGAUUAAACCCGGGAAUCCAAAA
rnacentral:rRNA from 1 species